ACGUAGGUGGCAAGCGUUGUCCGGAUUUAUUGGGUUUAAAGGGUGCGUAGGCGGUCUAUUAAGUCAGUGCUGAAAUAUCCCGGCUUAACCGGGAGGGUGGCAUUGAUACUGAUGGACUUGAGUGCAGUCGAGGUAGGCGGAAUUGACGGUGUAGCGGUGAAAUGCUUAGAUAUCGUCAAGAACACCGAUAGUGAAGACAGCUUACUAGACUGUAACUGACGCUGAGGCACGAAAGUGUGGGGAUCAAACAGGA
rnacentral:rRNA from 1 species